rnacentral:rRNA from 1 species
GAUGAACGCUGGCGGCGUGCCUAAUACAUGCAAGUCGAGCGAACAGAUAAGGAGCUUGCUCCUUUGACGUUAGCGGCGGACGGGUGAGUAACACGUGGGUAACCUACCUAUAAGACUGGAAUAACUCCGGGAAACCGGGGCUAAUGCCGGAUAACAUUUAGAGCCGCAUGGUUCUAAAGUGAAAGAUGGUUUUGCUAUCACUUAUAGAUGGACCCGCGCCGUAUUAGCUAGUUGGUAAGGUAACGGCUUACCAAGGCAACGAUACGUAGCCGACCUGAGAGGGUGAUCGGCAACACUGGAACGGAGACACGGUCCAGACUCCUACGGGAGGCAGCAGUAGGGAAUCUUCCGCAAUGGGCGAAAGACUGGCGGAGCAACGCCGCGUGAGUGAUGAAGGUCUUCGGAUCGUAAAACUCUGUUAUUAGGGAAGAACAAAUGUGUAAGUAACUAUGCACGUCUUGACGGUACCUAAUCAGAAAGCCACGGCUAACUACGUG